AUUUCAACGUCUCGUUUCAGUAUAGACCCGAUAUAGCCGGGCUGUGCCUAGCCCACUUCUAGCCCAAUUAAACUUUAAUUUGGUUACAUGUGGUUUUUGACAAAAUAAUUUGUGAGAUGGAUGCUAUUUUAUCAUGUAAGCAAAGUUAACAGCGAUUACAAGAUAAACAAAAUCCAGUUACAACUCCGAACCGCUAGAUGGCAGCAGUACACAAACACGGGGCCAAAUCUCACGAGAAAGAUUUCCGCUUUUUGAAAAGCAACAACAUCAGCGAGCAGCCAUGAAAGCAUGUACCACACUUGUUUGGUCUUGUGUCAAAGCUGUGCGAAACUGGAGGGAGAAACUUGAGAGACCGUGCCGGAAGAAUGCUGGACAGAGUUCACUAAAAUUCAUUAAUUUCAAAGUUCAACAUGAAUGGUGGUGGUCCACUGCAGAAGCAAGCAUUUGAAAAAACAUCAGUUCUCAGUUAUUAAAGAUGCUGUGUUGAACAACUUCCCAGCAGCAACAGAACUGGAAGUGAAGGAUGCAAUGGGGGCAUUUCAAACAGGCACCAGGGAGCACGGGGGGGGGGGGGGUAUAGAAAUUAGUACAAUUAAUAAGUUGACGUGAACUGAAGAUAGUUUGUUAAUGUUUAGAUGUUAUUUCAUUUUUGAAAUUGUAUUUUGUUAUAUAUGCUUUUAUUUUGUUACUGUUUUUAUUCUUUUUGUUAAAAGUAGUUUUUCUUCAUUUUGUCUUAUCUGAAUUUCUAUUGUAUUAACAAUAUUUUUUGUAAUAAAUUGCAUGAUUGCAUGUUUAUGAGAACCUUUUUACUGGAUUAAAAAUAAUUCUUUAUCCAUUCUUUUGUUCUUUAUUAGACACACACGUGUAGUCGUUUAAUAGCCGUCUAUUUAACGGCUAGUCUAUUCUUGGGCUAUGAUAGACGUCUACUAGAUUUUCACUGACAGCCCAAAAUUAGCCUUGUUUUAGCCUAGACCCACAUUCACCGUCUAUUAGACGUAUAUAUGUAGACGUUUAAUAGCCGUCUAUUUGAUGACUAGUCUAUUUCUUGGGCUAUGAUAGACGUCUACUAGAUUUUCACUGACAGCCCAAAAUUAGCCUUGUUUUAGCCUAGACGUCAGGGGGGUGUUUAGACGGCUACUAGACGUCUAUUAGCCGCAAAAUUGCUUGCUGGGAUGCUU